rnacentral:ncRNA from 1 species
UGUCGAGCUAAUCUCCAAAAGCCAUCUCAGUUCGGAUUGCACUCUGCAACUCGAGUGCAUGAAGUUGGAAUCGCUAGUAAUCGCAGAUCAGCAUGCUGCGGUGAAUACGUUCCCGGGCCUUGUACACACCGCCCGUCACACCAUGGGAGUUGGUUUUACCCGAAGGCGCUGCGCUAACCGCAAGGGGGCAGGCGACCACGGUAGGGUCAGCGACUGGGGUGAAGUCGUAACAAGGUAGCCGUAGGGGAACCUGCGGCUGGAUCACCUCCUUU